AUGACUCCAGGAGAAGUUCUUGGUUUGCAGGCAGUGUAGUUAGCUGAUUGUAUCCAUAAUUCCACAAUCACUAACUUCACUGCCAUCAAAACAAGGCACAGCAUUCCCUGCUCCAACCUUGGCCUGGAUACUCCCAAAUUCCUUAUUCCUACUGCAAAAUCAUUAAUAAUGUGAUUUAUUUGCAGCUUUGUUUCCAGAAUUUUACCUGCCCACAGCAGUGUGUGGAAUAUGAAGUGAAAUCUUGGAUUUCUUGAAGCUUUGAACCCUCAGGAAUUUUCCUGGACCAAGAAUCCUCUGUUAUUUAAAUAAUUCAUUUACUGUAUACUUAAUUUUUAACACACACAGACUGGACUGUGAUUUUUUUUUUAUGUUGCAUCCUUCAACUUAUCUGCCAGAUAUCAAUAAUUGUCAUUUGUUUAUCAUGUUUUAUUAAGGAAGGUAAGUGAAGGGAGUUUUGAGUGAUGAUUAAAUAUUAAACUCACUGUAGGUAUAAUUUUUUUUUUUUUCUCUGACCACUUAGCUUAACUAAGAAUUUUAAUUGGAGACAAUAAUGAAAAAUGCCAGAAUUUGCUUAGGAGGGGCUUUUUGAAAGGAAAAGUUGGGGUGAAAGGCUCUGCCAUCAGCCUGGUUGCCAGGCAGUGUAGUUAGCUGAUUGCCCAAAGCAACAAUCACUAGCCACACAGCCAGGCAAAAAGGUCUGAAAUACUGGGAUCAGGAAUUUGGGAUCAGGAAUUUGGGAUCAGGAAUCUGGAAUCAGGAAUCGGACCCACAGGAAUUCUGAGGACACAAGGCAGAAGCAUCAAUAGACAGGACAGUGAAAUAAAACAAGUGCUGCACUCCUGCCAAGCCAAUUUUUCUGGAUACACAGCAGAGAUAAAUGAGUUGAAGGUUAAGAACCACAAAUCUGAAUUAAUACAAUUGAAUUCCUCAAUUGCACGGAGCAGCACUGAAAUAUUAAAUUUGAUGAGUGCAGAGAUUGGAGAAAUAACCUGGAAAACAAGAUUUCAAAAGAUACUUUCAGGACUGACAUCUUUAUUUUGAACAUAAAAGCCUCCUUUUUUCCUUCCUCCUUCGUUAAGCUUUUAAGUUGGUUCCUGUUAAGCACUUCCUCUCCUCAAAGUUUAUUAAAAUGCUGAACCAAGUCUGUCUGCUUGGCCCAAAUUCUGGUUUUUAUUUCCCUUGGUCUAAAUAUUCAGAUUCUAUUUAAGGGGGAAAGAUGUCCUGGAUUCUAAUUAUUAUUAUUAUUAUUAUUAUUAUUAUUAUUAUUAUUACUACUACUACUACUACUACAAUAAUGACUCAGUUUUAUCCCGUUCUAAUACAUAAUAUUACAAGAUAUAGAAAUUAAAAGGCUGCUGCUAUUUUUCUGCACUUUUCUCCUUUAUUUUCUGUGU
rnacentral:lncRNA from 1 species